CCUGGUGGCUUAGACGUUAUAGCAUCUGCCUGGAAGGCAGGAGACCCGGGUUCAAUACCUGGGUCAGGA
rnacentral:tRNA from 1 species